GGGGAAUAUUGCACAAUGGGGGAAACCCUGAUGCAGCGACGCCGCGUGGAGGAAGAAGGUCUUCGGAUUGUAAACUCCUGUUGUUGGGGAAGAUAAUGACGGUACCCAACAAGGAAGUGACGGCUAACUACGUGCCAGCAGCCGCGGUAAAACGUAGGUCACAAGCGUUGUCCGGAAUUACUGGGUGUAAAGGGAGCGCAGGCGGGAAGACAAGUUGGAAGUGAAAUCUAUGGGCUCAACCCAUAAACUGCUUUCAAAACUGUUUUUCUUGAGUAGUGCAGAGGUAGGCGGAAUUCCCGGUGUAGCGGUGGAAUGCGUAGAUAUCGGGAGGAACACCAGUGGCGAAGGCGGCCUACUGGGCACCAACUGACGCUGAGGCUCGAAAGUGUGGGUAGCAAACAGGAUUAGAUACCCUGGUAGUCCACACCGUAAACGAUGAUUACUAGGUGUUGGAGGAUUGACCCCUUCAGUGCCGCAGUUAACACAAUAAGUAAUCCACCUGGGGAGUACGACCGCAAGGUUGAAACUCAAAGGAAUUGACGGGGGCCCGCACAAGCAGUGGAGUAUGUGGUUUAAUUCGAAGCAACGCGAAGAACCUUACCAGGUCUUGACAUCCGAUGCAUAGCACAGAGAUGUGUGAAAUCCUUCGGGACAUCGAGACAGGUGGUGCAUGGUUGUCGUCAGCUCGUGUCGUGAGAUGUUGGGUUAAGUCCCGCAACGAGCGCAACCCUUAUUGCCAGUUACUACGUUAAGAGGACUCUGGCGAGACUGCCGUUGACAAAACGGAGGAAGGUGGGGAUGACGUCAAAUCAUCAUGCCCUUUAUGACCUGGGCUACACACGUACUACAAUGGCGUUAAACAAAGAGAAGCAAGACCGCGAGGUGGAGCAAAACUCAAAAACAACGUCUCAGUUCAGAUUGCAGGCUGCAACUCGCCUGCAUGAAGUCGGAAUUGCUAGUAAUCGCGGAUCAGCAUGCCGCGGUGAAUACGUUCCCG
rnacentral:rRNA from 1 species